rnacentral:rRNA from 1 species
AGAGUUUGAUCAUGGCUCAGAUUGAACGCUGGCGGCAUGCUUUACACAUGCAAGUCGAACGGGGUGAGGGGGCAACUCUUCAUCUAGUGGCGAACGGGUGAGUAAUGCAUCGGAACGUGUCCCGUAGUGGGGGAUAACCCGGCGAAAGCCGGACUAAUACCGCAUAUACUCUACGGAGGAAAGUGGGGGACCUGCAAGGGCCUCACGCUAUGGGAGCGGCCGAUGUCCGAUUAGCUUGUUGGUGGGGUAAUGGCCUACCAAGGCGACGAUCGGUAGCUGGUCUGAGAGGAUGAUCAGCCACACUGGGACUGAGACACGGCCCAGACUCCUACGGGAGGCAGCAGUGGGGAAUUUUGGACAAUGGGGGCAACCCUGAUCCAGCCAUGCCGCGUGCGGGAAGAAGGCCUUCGGGUUGUAAACCGCUUUUAGUCGGGAAGAAAAGGCCAGGGUGAAUACCCUUGGUUUUUGACGGUACCGGCGGAAUAAGCACCGGCUAACUACGUGCCAGCAGCCGCGGUAAUACGUAGGGUGCGAGCGUUAAUCGGAAUUACUGGGCGUAAAGCGUGCGCAGGCGGUUCGCUGUGUCCGAUGUGAAAGCCCCGGGCUUAACCUGGGAAUGGCAUUGGAAACUGGCGGGCUUGAGUGUGGCAGAGGGGGGUGGAAUUCCGCGUAGCAGUGAAAUGCGUAGAGAUGCGGAGGAACACCGAUGGCGAAGGCAGCCCCCUGGGCUAACACUGACGCUCAGGCACGAAAGCGUGGGGAGCAAACAGGAUUAGAUACCCCAGUAGUCC